rnacentral:rRNA from 1 species
AUUGAACGCUGGCGGCAUGCCUUACACAUGCAAGUCGAACGGCAGCACGGGAGCAAUCCUGGUGGCGAGUGGCGAACGGGUGAGUAAUAUAUCGGAACGUGCCCAGUCGUGGGGGAUAACGUAGCGAAAGCUACGCUAAUACCGCAUACGAUCUAUGGAUGAAAGCGGGGGAUCGCAAGACCUCGCGCGAUUGGAGCGGCCGAUAUCAGAUUAGGUAGUUGGUGAGGUAAAGGCUCACCAAGCCGACGAUCUGUAGCUGGUCUGAGAGGACGACCAGCCACACUGGGACUGAGACACGGCCCAGACUCCUACGGGAGGCAGCAGUGGGGGAAUUUUGGACAAUGGGCGAAAGCCUGAUCCAGCAAUGCCGCGUGCAGGAAGAAGGCCUUCGGGUUGUAAACUGCUUUUGUACGGAACGAAAAGGCUCUUUCUAAUAAAGAGGGCCCAUGACGGUACCGUAAGAAUAAGCACCGGCUAACUACGUG